AGGACGCUGGCGGCGUGCUUACACUGCAGGUCAAACGAGAACGGACUAUAGCUCUGCUAUAGUUGUCAGCUAAGUGGCGCACGGGUGAGUAAUAUAUAGGUAAUGUGCCCUAGAGAGGGGGAUAACAGUUGGAAACGACUGCUAACACCCCAUAUGCCCUUAAGACAAAAGUCUGCAGGGGAAAUAUUUAUAGCUCUAGGAUCGGCCUGUACGGUAUCAGCUAGUUAGGUGAGGUAAUGGCUCACCAAGGCAAUGACGCCUAACUGGUUUGAGAGGAUGAUCAGUCACACUGGAACUGAGACACGGUCCAGACAUCCUACGGGAGGCAGCAGUGGGGAAUAUUGCACAAUGGGGGAAACCCUGAUGCAGCAACGCCGCAGUGGAGGAUGACACAUUUCGGUGCGUAAACUCCUUUUAUAUAGGAAGAUAAUGACGGUACAUAUAUGAAUAAGCACCGGCUAACUCCGUGCCAGCAGCCGCGGUAAUACGGAGGGUGCAAGCGUUACUCGGAAUCACUGGGCGUAAAGAGCGUGUACGCGGAUAAAUAAGUUUGAAGUGAAA
rnacentral:rRNA from 1 species